GGGGGUGAUUUGGCUUCGACAGGAGAGCCGAGAUUAGCUCGCAUGUAGCUUUUGGCACAGCUUAAAAAGCCUAAAUUAAAAUUAAACGCAAACAACGUUAAAUUCGCUCCUGCUUACGCUAAAGCUGCGUAAGUUCAGUUGAGCCCCUGUGGUGCGCUCGUCUCUAGGCGUGCUGAUUUGGGUCAUUAUAGGGACUAAGCUUUUGUGCCCGGCUAGCACAAGGGACGAAAAUCUUGCUUAGCUUUUGUAAGAGGUUUUGGAAAGUGAGCCUGCAAGAGCGAAAUUUUCACUUUUGCUAAACAUGUAGAUGAGUUUUUGGACGCUUUUUUGGACUGCAGUUCGACCCUGCACACCUCCACCA
rnacentral:tmRNA from 1 species